rnacentral:rRNA from 1 species
GAUUAACGCUAGCGGCAGGCCUAAUACAUGCAAGUCGAACGGCAGCGGGUGUAGCAAUACAUGCCGGCGAGUGGCGCACGGGUGCGUAACGCGUAUGCAAUCUACCUGUAACUGGGGAAUAGCCUUCCGAAAGGAAGAUUAAUACCGCAUAAUAUCAUGAAGUGGCAUCAUUUUAUGAUCAAAACUCCGGUGGUUAUAGAUGGGCAUGCGUGACAUUAGCUAGUUGGUGAGGUAACGGCUCACCAAGGCUACGAUGUCGUAGGGGUUCUGAGAGGACUUAACCCCCACACUGGUACUGAGACACGGACCAGACUCCUACGGGAGGCAGCAGUAAGGAAUAUUGGGCAAUGGACGCAAGUCUCGACCCAGCCAUGCCGCGUGAAGGAUGAAGGCCCUAUGGGUUGUAAACUUCUUUUAUACGGGAAAAAACCUUCGGUCGUGUACCGGAGCUGAUGGUACCGUAAGAAUAAGCAUCGGCUAACUCCGUG